rnacentral:lncRNA from 1 species
UUCCUUCCUUUUUCCAUGAUCGUUACAAGUUUAUAACUUUGUUUUUGAAGAUCUUUGAGCUUAGAACGAGUUUUGGAGCUUGGAGACCAAAAGUUGGAACUUCUCCCAUCUCCAAGUUUAGAUCUCCUCAACCCUCGAUCUUCAAGAGGUAAGAGCCGAUCUUAAGCUCAAUGUAUGAUUUAAACAAGUUUUAUGAAGUUUUAAGGGGUAAAAUGCAUGUUAGGUUAUAUGUUGAUGUUAUGGGUAUAUAUAUUGAUGUUUUGAACAAUGUAGCUUGUUUGUGUGUGAUUGGAAUGUUGUAGAUGGGGUAUAUGUAUGUUUUGAGACCCCUAGGAACUUGUAUGCAUGUUUUGGUUGAAGUUUAUGCAUGAUUUGUGGGUUUGGGAGGCAGGAGGUUCAUGUGAACCAAGUUUCUGCCCGUUUGGCAGAAACCAGGUUCGGCAGCCGAAGGAAGUUUCGGCCGCCGAACCCCUCUUGUGGAGGCAGCAUUCGGCUGCCGAAGGUGCCCCCGAAAAGAGACUUUCGUCUCUGUCUGGCACUUUCGGCCGCCGAAGGUGCCGCCGAACCUAGCUGAGUUUCGUCUCUGUCCAGGACUUUCGGCCGCCGAAGGUGCCGCCGAAAGUGCCCUGUCCAGCCAUUUCAUGCAUGUUUUCUGUGAUGUUUUCAGGAUGUUUUAGGGGGUUUUUGGGGAGUAGUUUAUAGUUAUGUUCAGGUAUGUUUGGUCCCUCAUUUGAGUCCACCUGUGUAGGUUCGGACCCGAGGAACCGAGGACCCCAGCAGUGAGUUCAGCUGCGGUGUUGUCAGAGUCAGCCAGAGGUGAGUGGAACUAAACUGAAUCUUUUAAAUAAAAUGCUUUACCAUGUUUCAUGCAUCAUGAUUAUGCAGUAGGAUGAUUGCAUUAGUUUUCACGAAUAUGCCGCAUUGCAUAAAUUGCUGUUGAUGUGGGUGAAUGUUGGAUGAUCCAAUUAGUCCAAGACAGGAAGACCAGGACCCCAUGCUACGGCCUGGCACAGAGUAAGCAAGUCCAGGCCCCAGUCUACAGGCCUGGCACAGAGUAAGGUACGGUUAUGGAACUCGAAGACCAGGAGCCCAGAGGAGGCCCUGGGAAAAUGGUAAGUAAUGUAUGAUAUGACAGGAAGACCAGGCCCCAUUCUACAGGCCUGGCACAGAGUUAACUUGGACUAUUUGGUGACGAGUUCACCCAACCCUUAGGUGAUUUGUUUGUGUUAUGAUGCAUUCCAUUUGAGCAUAGUGUU